UACAGAGGCCUCGAGCGUUAGGCGGAAUCACUGGGCUUAAAGCGUGUGUAGGUGGAUGCCUAAGUACCUUGUGAAAUCCCACGGCUUAACCGUGGAACUGCUGGGUAUACUGGGCGUCUUGAGCCACUCAGGGGCUACCGGAACAAGCGGUGGAGCGGUGAAAUGCGUAGAUAUCGCUUGGAACGCCAAUGGUGAAAACAGGUAGCUGGGGGUGUGCUGACACUGAGACACGAAAGCCAGGGGAGCAAAGCGGG
rnacentral:rRNA from 1 species